AACGAACGCUGGCGGCAUGCCUAACACAUGCAAGUCGAACGAGACCUUCGGGUCUAGUGGCGCACGGGUGCGUAACGCGUGGGAACCUGCCCUUAGGUUCGGAAUAACUCCCCGAAAGGGGUGCUAAUACCGGAUAAUGUCUUCGGACCAAAGAUUUAUCGCCUUUGGAUGGGCCCGCGUUGGAUUAGCUAGUUGGUAGGGUAAAAGCCUACCAAGGCGACGAUCCAUAGCUGGUCUGAGAGGAUGAUCAGCCACACUGGGACUGAGACACGGCCCAGACUCCUACGGGAGGCAGCAGUGGGGAAUAUUGGACAAUGGGCGAAAGCCUGAUCCAGCAAUGCCGCGUGAGUGAUGAAGGCCUUAGGGUUGUACAGCUCUUUUACCCGGGAUGAUAAUGACAGUACCGGGAGAAUAAGCACCGGCUAACUCCGUG
rnacentral:rRNA from 1 species